ACACAUUGGAAAUCCAGCUAACUUUUGGCUCUUUUUGCCUGGGUGAAUAUAGGAUGUAAUCUCAUUGACCAAUGUCCCAACCAAAUAUUACUCAAUUAUGAACGUUGAAAUGACGCGGUGUGCCCAUUGGGUUGUUUUCUAAAGGUGACACCUGGAGGUGUUAAUCUCUUCUCUUAUCCUACUAUAGCCUGUUCCUAAGCCUACUGCUAAAUGGGAUGUGGCUGCUGGCAUCACAGUUGAGAAAUAAUGGAUUAGCCCUUUUAGAUAUCAGACACAACAAACCCAGGUGUUUUAUGCUCUCCAAGCUAAUUUAUGCCUCUCCUCUCUUUUGCCUUUGUCCAUAGUGACCAUGGAGCAUGGUAAUACCCCUACCCUGCAUCUCUACACUUCAGUCACUAUGGAUUAUGAUUGGUUGCCUACUACUAGGCAUUCUUUAAAUCAGUGGUUCCCAAAAAGGUGGGUCACCAAGAGGACAACUCCCAUGUUCUGAAGCAGGGCUUUCUUCACCAGGCUCUGUUAGACAUGUACCAAUGGGCCUUUGACUGAGUUGAAGAGAGGAGGUCUGCUGCAGGGACAGCGGAUACGUCUCAGUGCAGGUUUUACCCCCUCCUUUUACCCCCCCCCCCCCUCCAUAACAGUACAAUCCAGCCUGGGCCAAGCUCAUCCAAGGGGCUGUUCAGGCCUGUCCUGUCCCCAACUCAAAAUUGUGUACACGGUCACCAGUAUGGGCCUACAGCGUCUCUCCACCACUGACCAGCCCCCAGAUGGUCUACCACAUUAUAGUCCAACCCACUCCAGGCCCAGUGCAGAACCUGUAGACCAGUGCAUCAGACUCAACUGCCUGGAUCCACAGAGACCACCUUCCCCAUUAUCAAUGUGUUUAUCUGUACCACCCUCUCCGGGCAUAUACUGGCCAACCACAGAGCUGAGGCCGAUCCAGUUACCGGGCAGAACAUCAGGCUCCCAGAAAACCAUGCCCUGUCAUCUGCUGAAAAACUGCCACUGGAACAUCUUUUCCAGUUCUGUUCACACGUCAAACACUAUCAGAGACAGAGAUUACAUGCAGAAUUGACCCUCUCCUCCAUCCCAAUGUUCCCAUAGCGUGGUGGAGAUAACAGACCUGCCACUCAGCAAUUCACAAUGGACUACUUUAUCAAUGGACUACUUUAUCUGCCAGUGAAGCGCAGCUAAACGGGGGAAUCCAUUUCCUACAGUAACUGACUCCUUCUGUGGCCACCGUAUGACACUAAUGUAAAUAACUGUUGACAUACCUACCUGUCCUUAUAGCUGCUGGGUGACCUCUCCCUGAACUGUAUAACCAUAACACCUGACUUUUAAACUGGGGUAGUUACUGAUUGUGUGUGUGUGUGUGUGUGUGUGUGUGUGUGUGUGUGUGUGUGUUGUGUGGUUUUGUGUGUGUGUGUGUUCACCCUGAAGAAGGCACAGUGAUGGGGAAACGUUUGUGUUUUACCCAAUAAAUCACCGGGAGUUUAAAUAUAGAGCAUGCAAAUCUCUUUGUUUUUAUAGUUUACAGUUUAUUUGCCGUUAGUCAGCACCUCUACGCUAAAUCAUUUUCUCUGGGUCUGCACCAGCUCAUGCUUUUUAUUAGGUAUGGUACAGUAACAUGGGUUAUCAUGACUUCAGUCCAGACUAUAGGGAAGCUGUCAGUCUUUAAAACCUUUCCCUCUGCAGUGGAUGAGGAGUUGGAGGCCACUGAGGUCAUGAUGUGAAAGGAAGCUAUGAUGAGCAAAUACCAGUGUGUUAUGUUGGCCGAGUACGAGGUGGAUCUUAAAGAGAACGUAAACACACACACAGAGUAGCAACGGCCCUUCAAAUUGUUCAAAGGUUUUCAAAAUCAUUCUAAUAAAUGCAACAGUUGGACAGUGGAUGAAGAUACUACUACAUAUAGAUGAAAAUCCAUCAGAUUUUUGCACAUAACACGUUGUACUGGCACGGACAAAUAUCAAAUGGAGUUCAUGGAUUUUGGUGGGAAUUUAGGUAAACAAUUUAUUGUAUAAUUUCACUUUUU
rnacentral:lncRNA from 1 species